rnacentral:rRNA from 1 species
CCUACGGGAGGCAGCAGUGAGGAAUAUUGGUCAAUGGGCGUAAGCCUGAACCAGCCAAGUCGCGUGAGGGAUGAAGGUUCUAUGGAUCGUAAACCUCUUUUAUAAGGGAAUAAAGUGUGGGACGGGUCCUGUUGUGUAUGUACCUUAUGAAUAAGGAUCGGCUAACUCCGUGCCAGCAGCCGCGGUAAUACGGAGGAUGCGAGCGUUAUCCGGAUUUAUUGGGUUUAAAGGGUGCGUAGGCGGGGUUUUAAGUCAGCGGUGAAAGUCGGGGGCUCAACCAUGGAAUUGCCGUUGAAACUGGGUGCCUUGAGUACGUUUGAGGCAGGCGGAAUGCGUGGUGUAGCGGUGAAAUGCUUAGAUAUCACGCAGAACCCCGAUUGCGAAGGCAGCCUGCCAGGCCAUGACUGACGCUGAUGCACGAAAGCGUGGGGAUCAAACAGGAUUAGAUACCCCAGUAGUC